rnacentral:piRNA from 1 species
UGAUCCAAGUCAUCGUCUAGGAAAUAG